rnacentral:lncRNA from 1 species
GCUUUUCACAAAAAUUAGUUGGAGAUCAAGCAAUAAUUGGCAGACCCCCUGCAGUAUGGCUGCGGACCCCCUGUCGAAGUCCCCGAAGAUUAUAGAGAUGAAAACAAAGCCGUUACUGUAGAGGAUUCACGACAAGAGACCUGCAUGUGGACUCUUAUCACUUAUCAAAGCCUGU